rnacentral:lncRNA from 1 species
UAUCUAAAUAUUUUUCAAGAACAACGAAAACUAAAGGGUCUGGAGUCUUCUUAAAAUCUCUACUCAAAAAAUAGUACCUAUACAGGUGUAAGUGCCAGUAAGCUUGAACAGCCAUCCUAGGAGACCAAGUUGUCAGAUUUUAGUUGAGAUAGGCUUUGGCUAGGUUAGGCAAAAAAGGAAGCCCAGAUCUUCCACUGUAGUGGUGAAAUACAGCAUCUGGACCCCUCCUUAGUUCUCUGUCCCUUUCUAACAAGUAACAGGUGUAUCGGGGCAUUCAUGUGAUAAAAGAUACACCUAUCCUAUUGUUUUUUUUUUUAUAAUCAAGAAACCAAGUUGGCAAAAGCACAUAAAUCCAAAGCCAAGCAGAUGUGGUAUAUAAAUAAGGUCCUACACUAUGUGAGGGAGGCUAACACUGCAACUUGUUUUUAGAGAGAAAAAUGGUCCCUGUUGUAGCUAAGGUACUCCCAAGCCAUGAGUUGCUGCUAACAUGCUACAUUUAGAUAAUAAUAGAGGCCAAUCCUUUCCACCCUCUCUCUCUCUCUCUCUCUCUCUCUCUCUCUCUCUCUCUCUCUCUGUAAAAACC